GACGAACGCUGGCGGCGUGCUUAACACAUGCAAGUCGAGCGGGGAUAAAGGAUGGAGUUCUUCGGAACAAAGCCCUUUAUUCUAGCGGCGGACGGGUGAGUAACGCGUGAGCAAUCUGUCCCAGACAGGGGGAUAACACUUGGAAACAGGUGCUAAUACCGCAUAAGACCACGGGGAGGCAUCUUCCUGAGGUAAAAGGAGCAAAUCCGGUUUGGGUGGAGCUCGCGUCCCACUUAGUCUAGUUGGCGAGGUAACGGCCCACCAAGGCGACGAUGGGUAGCCGACCUGAGAGGGUGAUCGGCCACAUUGGAACUGAGACACGGUCCAGACUCCUACGGGAGGGCAGCAGUGGGGAAUAUUGGGC
rnacentral:rRNA from 1 species